CUUGUACAAAGCGAAGACUGAGCGCUGGUUAGUGGCGAACGGGUGAGUAACACGUAGGUAACCUACCGAUAAGACGAGGACAACUCAUGGAAACGUGAGCUAAUACUGGAUGUGGUAUAGGGGAGGCAUCUUUCCUGUAUUAAAGGAGCUUAUGGCUUCGCUUAUUGAGGGACCUGCGGCGUGUUAGCUAGUUGGUGGGAUAGCAGCCUACCAAGGCGAUGAUACGUAGCCGAUCUGAGAGGAUAAACGGCCACACUGGGACUGAGAUACGGCCCAGACUCCUACGGGAGGCAGCAGUAGGGAAUUUUCCACAAUGGACGAAAGUCUGAUGGAGCAACGCCGCGUGUGUGAAGAAGGUUUUCGGAUUGUAAAGCACUGUUGUAUGGGAAGAAUAAGGUGGAGAGGAAAUGCUCGACUGAUGACGGUACCAUACGAGGAAGUCACGGCUAACUACGUGCCAGCAGCCGCGGUAAUACGUAGGUGGCAAGCGUUGUCCGGAAUUAUUGGGCGUAAAGGGCGUGUAGGCGGAUAAUCAAGUCUGGUGUGAAAGUUUGCAGCUUAACUGUAAAAUUGCAUUGGAAACUGAAUAUCUUGAGUAUCGGAGAGGAAAGCGGAAUUCCAUGUGUAGCGGUGAAAUGCGUAGAUAUAUGG
rnacentral:rRNA from 1 species